UAGGGUUAGGGUUGGGCUUGGAGCUAGGAUUUUUCUGAGUGCACUGAACCAACUCCCGAGUCUCUAGGACAUUCCUAAUAAAAUUUGAUUUUUUCCCAUAGGAAUGCAUGGGUUAGGGUUAUGGUUAGGGUUAGGGUUGGAGCUAGGGUUAGGGUUAGGGUUAGGGUUGGAGUUAGGGUUAGUGUUGGAGCUAGGGUUAGGGUUGGGCUUGGAGCUAGGAUUUUUCUGAGUACAAUGAACCAACUCCCGAGUCUCUUGGACGUUCCUAA